GAUGAACGCUGGCGGCGUGCCUAAUACAUGCAAGUCGAGCGAACAGACGAGGAGCUUGCUCCUCUGACGUUAGCGGCGGACGGGUGAGUAACACGUGGAUAACCUACCUAUAAGACUGGGAUAACUUCGGGAAACCGUAGCUAAUACCUGCGAAUAUAUGGAACCACAUGGGUCAAUAGUGAAAGACGGUUUUGCUGUCACUUAUAGAUGGAUCCGCGCCGCAUUAGCUAGUUGGUCAGGUAACGGCUUACCAAGGCAACGAUGAGUAGCCGACCUGAGAGGGUGACCGGCCACACUGGAACUGAGACACGGCCCAGACUCCUACGGGAGGCAGCAGUAGGGAAUCUUCCGCAAUGGGCGAAAGCUUGACGGAGCAACGCCGCGUGAGUGAUGAAGGUCUUCGGAUCGUAAAACUCUGUUAUCAGGGAAGAACACAUGUGUAAGUAACUAUUCACGUCUUGACGGUACCUAAUCAGAAAGCAACGGCUAACUACGUG
rnacentral:rRNA from 1 species